rnacentral:rRNA from 1 species
UACGGGGGGGCAAGCGUUGUUCGGAAUUACUGGGCGUAAAGGGCUCGUAGGUGGCCAACUAAGUCAGACGUGAAAUCCCUCAGCUUAACUGGGGAACUGCGUCUGAUACUGGAUGGCUUGAGUUUGGGAGAGGGAUGCGGAAUUCCAGGUGUAGCGGUGAAAUGCGUAGAUAUCAAGAGGAACACCUGCGGCGAAGGCGGGUUGCUGGGCCGACACUGACGCUGAGGCGCGAAAGCCAGGGGAGCGAACGGG